rnacentral:lncRNA from 1 species
CUUCUGAAAACUCACUUCAUCAUAAGAGGCUCCAGGUGUCAUGGUUAGUGCUGACUCACUCCAUGCACAAGAAUACCCACCAUGGGUGGAUGCCUCCUCCCGCUAUUUUAAGUGAUGAGCCUGAAACAGAGCACAGCCAGCAGAUGAGGAGGUGAGUUUCCGAUAGCAGGUCUUAGGUACUAUAUAUGCUCAAUAUACAUUUGAAUGAAAAGUACCAAAGACAACUCUUGAUUUCAGCUCACGUCACGAUCUUGUGGUUUGUGGGUUCAAGCCCCACAUCGGGCUCUGCACUGACAGCACAGAACCUGCUUGAGAUUCUCUCUCUCUCUCUCUCUCUCUGCCCCUCCCCUGCUCUCUCUCUCUAAAUAAAUAAACUUUUUUUUUAAAAAGGAAAGUACCAAAGACAAAAGGGGAAGAAAUGGUUAUGCAAAACUAGACCUCCUGAGAUUUUUGUUAGUCUUUCUUGAAAGAGGCUGGAAAGAGGAUUUCACCGAGUCUGGAGAGAUACCUCUGAUGGCAUCUUACGUGAUGGCCUUUCUCCACAGUAUUUCAUGUGAUACUGGGGAAUCACAGAGGGCUUUACUCUCUAUUAAUCAUAGUAUGUCUGGGAGGAUCUGGAAAAUGUUUAACGCUCUUUUCACUGUUAAAUCACAAAUUUUCAUGAAGAUAAAAGGGUAUUUCACUUCUUACAGAGACGGAUUUGUUUUAAAAUAAAAAGUCAGGUUUUUUUUUUUUGUAAGAAAAAGAAAAGUCAAAUAACACAGAAGAGAACAAGGAUCGGCCAAGAGCUCAUACUCUGACAAACUAUGGCAAUUGCUUUUGAGGACGCUUCUCGAUGCAUAUUUACAACAUAGAUGCGGGAUUCCCCUUAACCUGAUGGGGCUCAUAUUCCACAUUUUAUUUUAUUUUUUUUGUUUUAAUUUUUGAGAUAGGGAGAGAGAGACAGAGCUUGAGCAGGGGAGGGGCAGAGAGAGAGGGAGACACAGAAUCUGAAACAGGCUCCAGGCUCUGAGCUGUCAGCACAGAGCCCGACGUGGGGCUCGAACUCACGAACCGUGAGAUCAUGACCUGAGCCGAAGUGGGACGCUUAACUGACGGAGCCACCCAGGAGCCCCC